UUCCUACGGGAGGCAGCAGUGGGGAAUAUUGGACAAUGGGGGCAACCCUGAUCCAGCCAUGCCGCGUGUGUGAAGAAGGCCCUCGGGUUGUAAAGCACUUUCAGCGAGGAAGAACGCCUAGCGGUUAAUACCCGCUAGGAAAGACAUCACUCGCAGAAGAAGCACCGGCUAACUCCGUGCCAGCAGCCGCGGUAAUACGGAGGGUGCAAGCGUUAAUCGGAAUUACUGGGCGUAAAGCGCGCGUAGGUGGCUUAAUAAGCCGGUUGUGAAAGCCCCGGGCUCAACCUGGGAACGGCAUCCGGAACUGUCAAGCUAGAGUGCAGGAGAGGAAGGUAGAAUUCCCGGUGUAGCGGUGAAAUGCGUAGAGAUCGGGAGGAAUACCAGUGGCGAAGGCGGCCUUCUGGACUGACACUGACACUGAGGUGCGAAAGCGUGGGUAGCAAACAGGAUUAGAUACCCUGGUAGUCCACGCCGUAAACGAUGUCGACCAGCCGUUGGGUGCCUAGCGCACUUUGUGGCGAAGUUAACGCGAUAAGUCGACCGCCUGGGGAGUACGGCCGCAAGGUUAAAACUCAAAUGAAUUGACGG
rnacentral:rRNA from 1 species